rnacentral:rRNA from 1 species
GGGUUGUGAGGUUAAGCGACUAAGCGUACACGGUGGAUGCCCUGGCAGUCAGAGGCGAUGAAGGACGUGCUAAUCUGCGAUAAGCGUCGGUGAGGUGAUAUGAACCGUUAUAACCGGCGAUUUCCGAAUGGGGAAACCCAGUGUGUUUCGACACACUAUCAUUAACUGAAUCCAUAGGUUAAUGAGGCGAACCGGGGGAACUGAAACAUCUAAGUACCCCGAGGAAAAGAAAUCAACCGAGAUUCCCCCAGUAGCGGCGAGCGAACGGGGAGGAGCCCAGAGCCUGAAUCAGUGUGUGUGUUAGUGGAAGCGUCUGGAAAGGCGUGCGAUACAGGGUGACAGCCCCGUACACAAAAAUGCACAUAUUGUGAGCUCGAUGAGUAGGGCGGGACACGUGGUAUCCUGUCUGAAUAUGGGGGGACCAUCCUCCAAGGCUAAAUACUCCUGACUGACCGAUAGUGAACCAGUACCGUGAGGGAAAGGCGAAAAGAACCCCGGCGAGGGGAGUGAAAAAGAACCUGAAACCGUGUACGUACAAGCAGUGGGAGCCUCUUAAUGGGGUGACUGCGUACCUUUUGUAUAAUGGGUCAGCGACUUAUAUUCUGUAGCAAGGUUAACCGAAUAGGGGAGCCGAAGGGAAACCGAGUCUUAACUGGGCGUUAAGUUGCAGGGUAUAGACCCGAAACCCGGUGAUCUAGCCAUGGGCAGGUUGAAGGUUGGGUAACACUAACUGGAGGACCGAACCGACUAAUGUUGAAAAAUUAGCGGAUGACUUGUGGCUGGGGGUGAAAGGCCAAUCAAACCGGGAGAUAGCUGGUUCUCCCCGAAAGCUAUUUAGGUAGCGCCUCGUGAAUUCAUCUCCGGGGGUAGAGCACUGUUUCGGCAAGGGGGUCAUCCCGACUUACCAACCCGAUGCAAACUGCGAAUACCGGAGAAUGUUAUCACGGGAGACACACGGCGGGUGCUAACGUCCGUCGUGAAGAGGGAAACAACCCAGACCGCCAGCUAAGGUCCCAAAGUCAUGGUUAAGUGGGAAACGAUGUGGGAAGGCCCAGACAGCCAGGAUGUUGGCUUAGAAGCAGCCAUCAUUUAAAGAAAGCGUAAUAGCUCACUGGUCGAGUCGGCCUGCGCGGAAGAUGUAACGGGGCUAAACCAUGCACCGAAGCUGCGGCAGCGACACUAUGUGUUGUUGGGUAGGGGAGCGUUCUGUAAGCCUGUGAAGGUGGCCUGUGAGGGUUGCUGGAGGUAUCAGAAGUGCGAAUGCUGACAUAAGUAACGAUAAAGCGGGUGAAAAGCCCGCUCGCCGGAAGACCAAGGGUUCCUGUCCAACGUUAAUCGGGGCAGGGUGAGUCGACCCCUAAGGCGAGGCCGAAAGGCGUAGUCGAUGGGAAACAGGUUAAUAUUCCUGUACUUGGUGUUACUGCGAAGGGGGGACGGAGAAGGCUAUGUUGGCCGGGCGACGGUUGUCCCGGUUUAAGCGUGUAGGCUGGUUUUCCAGGCAAAUCCGGAAAACCAAGGCUGAGGCGUGAUGACGAGGCACUACGGUGCUGAAGCAACAAAUGCCCUGCUUCCAGGAAAAGCCUCUAAGCAUCAGGUAACAUCAAAUCGUACCCCAAACCGACACAGGUCGUCAGGUAGAGAAUACCAAGGCGCUUGAGAGAACUCGGGUGAAGGAACUAGGCAAAAUGGUGCCGUAACUUCGGGAGAAGGCACGCUGAUAUGUAGGUGAAGCGACUUGCUCGUGGAGCUGAAAUCAGUCGAAGAUACCAGCUGGCUGCAACUGUUUAUUAAAAACACAGCACUGUGCAAACACGAAAGUGGACGUAUACGGUGUGACGCCUGCCCGGUGCCGGAAGGUUAAUUGAUGGGGUUAGCGGUAACGCGAAGCUCUUGAUCGAAGCCCCGGUAAACGGCGGCCGUAACUAUAACGGUCCUAAGGUAGCGAAAUUCCUUGUCGGGUAAGUUCCGACCUGCACGAAUGGCGUAAUGAUGGCCAGGCUGUCUCCACCCGAGACUCAGUGAAAUUGAACUCGCUGUGAAGAUGCAGUGUACCCGCGGCAAGACGGAAAGACCCCGUGAACCUUUACUAUAGCUUGACACUGAACAUUGAGCCUUGAUGUGUAGGAUAGGUGGGAGGCUUUGAAGUGUGGACGCCAGUCUGCAUGGAGCCGACCUUGAAAUACCACCCUUUAAUGUUUGAUGUUCUAACGUUGGCCCGUAAUCCGGGUUGCGGACAGUGUCUGGUGGGUAGUUUGACUGGGGCGGUCUCCUCCUAAAGAGUAACGGAGGAGCACGAAGGUUGGCUAAUCCUGGUCGGACAUCAGGAGGUUAGUGCAAUGGCAUAAGCCAGCUUGACUGCGAGCGUGACGGCGCGAGCAGGUGCGAAAGCAGGUCAUAGUGAUCCGGUGGUUCUGAAUGGAAGGGCCAUCGCUCAACGGAUAAAAGGUACUCCGGGGAUAACAGGCUGAUACCGCCCAAGAGUUCAUAUCGACGGCGGUGUUUGGCACCUCGAUGUCGGCUCAUCACAUCCUGGGGCUGAAGUAGGUCCCAAGGGUAUGGCUGUUCGCCAUUUAAAGUGGUACGCGAGCUGGGUUUAGAACGUCGUGAGACAGUUCGGUCCCUAUCUGCCGUGGGCGCUGGAGAACUGAGGGGGGCUGCUCCUAGUACGAGAGGACCGGAGUGGACGCAUCACUGGUGUUCGGGUUGUCAUGCCAAUGGCACUGCCCGGUAGCUAAAUGCGGAAGAGAUAAGUGCUGAAAGCAUCUAAGCACGAAACUUGCCCCGAGAUGAGUUCUCCCUGAGACUUAGAGUCUCCUGAAGGAACGUUGAAGACGACGACGUUGAUAGGCCGGGUGUGUAAGCGCAGCGAUGCGUUGAGCUAACCGGUACUAAUGAACCGUGAGGCUUAACCUUACAACGCCGAAG